rnacentral:rRNA from 1 species
UACGAGAGGCCCAAACGUUGUUCGGAAUUACUGGGCUUAAAGAGUUCGUAGGCGGCAUGAAAAGCAGGGUGUGAAAGCCCUCGGCUCAACCGAGGAAUUGCGCUCUGAACUGUCGUGCUUGAGGAACCUAGAGGUGAGCAGAACAGAUGGUGGAGCGGUGAAAUGCGUUGAUAUCAUCUGGAAUACCGGAGGCGAAGGCGGCUCACUGGGGGUUUUCUGACGCUGAGGAACGAAAGCCAGGGUAGCGAACGGG